AUUGAACGCUGGCGGCAGGCCUAACACAUGCAAGUCGCGCGAGCGGCGGACGGGUGAGUAAUGUAUGGGGACUGCCCGAUAGAGGGGGAUAACUACUGGAAACGGUAGCUAAUACCGCAUACUAUCGGAUAACCCAUAUGGGAUUAGCUAGUAGGUGAGGGAAUGGCUCACCUGGGCGACGAGCCCUAGAUGGUCUGAGAGGAUGAUCAGCAAAAUGUGGACUGAGACACGGCCCAGACUCCGUCGGAGGUAGCUGUGGGGAAUAUUGCACAAUGGGCGCAAGCCUGAUGCAGCCAUGCCGCGUGGAUGAAGAAGGCACUAGGGUUGUAAAGUACUUUCAGUCGGGAGGCGUUACCGACAGAAGAAGCCCCGGCUAACUCCGUGCCAGCAGCCGCGGUAAUAC
rnacentral:rRNA from 1 species